GUUGCCUCAGAGAUAAGCCUCUCCUCAGGGAAUCGUAGAAACAAGGGUGGAAAGCACUUCAAGAGGUAACCUAACCCCUGCUGUUCCCUCAGGCAGGGGAAGGCAGAUUGCAUAUAUGGACUGGGUGGGCUCUGCAUGGGCAGGGUUUGUUCACUGGGGAGCUGUUAAAUAGCAUGUUGGGAGAACUGUGAGGUAAUGAGAACAGCUUUGUGUUCACGUGGUAUUGGAAACCACCAGGUAGAAAUGAGGUGCUUUCUGGUGACAGUGGAGAGGAAAUAAUAUAAGAACACGAGUAAGAGUGCAGCAGGAUCGCCUGUCAUCGCCUGUGGUGGGGGUGGAGAAACCUGGUCCUUCCAUGCCACCUAGUGUAGGAAGCUGAGCAGCAGCCCUGCGAGGAUGGGCUCUGCAAGGUGGGGUCGUUAAGCAGGAAAUAACGGAGACCUGAAGCCUGCCACGAAAUGAGCCACCUCUGCCCUGCAGUUCACAUGUGCUGGAAUGAAAGUGGGAAUUUCUUUGUCCUUUUGGCAAAAAGAAAAAGAAAGAAGAUUCAAGAGAGAGAAAACAGUCAACAAUAAUACAAUUAAAAUACAAACUUGGCAUUAACCAGGCCUAUGAGAAAAAGCCAGCUGCUUCUGGUGGGGACCAUUCUGGUGGAAAGAAGCCCCUGCUGGUGAUGGACCUACUUGCUUCAUGGCUCUUCUGCACAGGAAGAAAACAGAUGUGGAGUUUCCUUUCUUUAAGUUACUCUUUAAGCAAAGUUGACAAAUGGCAAGCUGGCAACACUGGAAACAGAUUUCCCAUUGAUCCACAAAACAGGUACAGAAACAAAUGAGAAACAACAGAUUUUACUAAUUUCAUUCUCCAUUCCCCUCCAUCUAGCCACUUGCCUCUUAAGUGGUGUCUUCUCUGGGCCAGUAAACUGGCUUUUUAGCUGACAAUGCCACUCUUGCUACAACUGCAUAGGCUGUGUUCAUAAUAAUUAAUUGUCCGCUUUUAAAACUCUCUCAAAAGCCUCCAAGAACUUGCUACUUCAUCUAUCACUACUUAAUGGACUUGAAUGAGACUGACUUCGAAAUUAUUAUUAUUUUUUUUUCCUCCAUAGAGUCAUAGAAUGGCUUGGGUUGGAAUGUACCUUAAAGCCCACCCAAUUCUAUCCUCCUAUCAUGGACACAGCUGCCACCCUCUAGAUCAGGCUGUCCAGAGCCCUGCACAACCUGGCCUUGAUGGGGUAUCCACAGCUUCUCUGGGCAGCCUGUGUCAAUUUCUCACCACCCUCUGAGUAAAGAAUUUCCUCCCAGUAUCUAACCUAAAGCUCCUCUAUUUUAGUUUAAAACCACUUCCCCUUGUCUUAUCAUUAUCUGAUCAUGUAAAAAGUCAGUACAUGGUAUAACACAAUUUGCUCUGAAUUUAAACAUAAAUUUAGCAUAAACUGUCUUUUAUCAGUACAACUUCAAGUUAGGAUGCAGCACAAAGUGCCUACAUGCAAUGGCAAUAACUGAGCAUGUAGGAAACUCAGCUAAUGAAGCUCAGCACACCUUGCACAAGCAGUGCAGUGGCUUACCCACUCCAGAUCCUGCAAGAGGUGCAUGAAGAACGGCAGUCUUCUGAUCAGAACAUACUGCUCUCUUUUGGCCUGAUUGUCCUCCUUAUCCUUCUUUGGAGUUAUCAAAGGCUUAUUGAAGUUGGCUUUUCUUUUCAGCUUCUAGUACUGGUAAAGGAAUUGCCCCAACUCCUCAGGCACCUGCAGUACCUUAGCCACUUCUGAAGACGUGACAAAGAUAUAGAACUCAUCCUUCAGCUGCUGGAGCUUCCGCUUGCAGAGGCUAACUCUGUGGGCCUCUUCUGGUUUUGAUUCAUGCUGUAGAAAGGUUUGAUGUGAACCGAAGGAGAGGUCUCCUGAAUCCUGUUCCUGACCUCUUGGCCAAGAUGCUCACUGAAGGGUCUCAUCAUUUACUCCCUUAGUGGAGGUGUUCCUGGGACAUAUGACUAAAAUUUCACCUCAUUCUAUGCUAGUAUGGUCUUCAUCUCCAAGCCUCAGUCAAAUGUGCAAAUGACAUGAAAGGUUAUUCUGCAGUUCUUCACUGAACGCUGCAGAAAUUAGAUUAAAAUUCAUCAGAU
ensembl:lncRNA